CUACGUCUUCCCCGACGGCGAGCUCGCCCCCGUCGGGCGGACCGUCGCCCAGCUGGAGGAGGCCGGGUUCGAGGUCCGGGACGUGGA
rnacentral:tRNA from 1 species